rnacentral:rRNA from 1 species
UACGUAGGGGGCGAGCGUUGUCCGGAUUUACUGGGCGUAAAGGGCGUGCAGGCGGUGCAGUAAGUUCAGAGUGACAGUUCCCGGCUCAACUGGGGAAGGCCUCUGAAAACUGCUGGACUUGAGGGCCAGAGAGGGACAUAGAAUUCCGGGUGGAGUGGUGAAAUGCGUAGAUAUCCGGAGGAAUACCAAAGGCGAAGGCAGUGUCCUGGCUGGCAUCUGACGCUGAGGCGCGAAAGCUAGGGGAGCGAACAGG